GUCGUCUUGACUCAAGUCUGCGAAGUGUAGGCGUC
rnacentral:ribozyme from 1 species